rnacentral:rRNA from 1 species
UACGUAGGGUGCAAGCGUUAAUCGGAAUUACUGGGCGUAAAGCGUGCGCAGGCGGCUAUGCAAGACAGAUGUGAAAUCCCCGGGCUCAACCUGGGAACUGCAUUUGUGACUGCAUAGCUAGAGUACGGUAGAGGGGGAUGGAAUUCCGCGUGUAGCAGUGAAAUGCGUAGAUAUGCGGAGGAACACCGAUGGCGAAGGCAAUCCCCUGGACCUGUACUGACGCUCAGGGCACGAAAGC